UGGUCUCUUGCCUCGCUCAAUUUGCUGUUCCAUCAGCAGAUUUCGAGCUGGAUACGUACACGUCGCUUCUUUCUAGACAGAGACGUGCCCGUACGAGACAAGAGUAAUUUGCGACGAUCUUUGAGUACGGAACCGCCUGAUUCCAUGUGUCGGACCUCCGUAAUUUAUCUGUCGCGACAUAU
rnacentral:snoRNA from 1 species